UUCAAACGCUAAUUUUACUUCCUGUUUUCAUUUUUUUAUGUCCUGUGACAUCUGAGAAAAUUCAUCUCGAAAGUAGCAAGAAACUUCAGUGCUGCCACGUCAGGAUUACAGCUCAAGAUAAACACCUGGCCGAAAUCCCAAGAGACACACAUACACACACAAACACACACCAAAUAACCUAAACGGAAAAUACCAGCCUAGCGCGAGGUUUGUUCCGUCAUGGAGAGCAAAUAUAACUUGAAGAGUCCAGCUGUGAAGAGGUUGAUGAAAGAGGCCGCUGAACUCCGGGACCCGACCCAGCAUUAUCAUGCUCAGCCACUGGAGGAUAACCUGUUUGAGUGGCACUUCUCCGUCAGAGGACCUCCAGACUCUGAUUUCGAUGGUGGAGUUUAUCACGGUCGGAUCGUGCUGCCCCCCGAAUACCCCAUGAAGCCCCCCAGCAUCAUUCUGCUCACCGCCAAUGGGAGGUUUGAGGUUGGGAAGAAGAUCUGUCUGAGUAUUUCCGGUCACCAUCCAGAGACGUGGCAGCCGUCAUGGAGUAUUCGGACAGCUUUAAUAGCGAUCAUUGGAUUCAUGCCGACUAAAGGGGAAGGAGCGAUAGGAUCUCUGGACUACACUCCUGAGGAGAGAAGAGCUCUCGCUAAAAAGUCUCAGGAUUUCUGCUGUGAAGGUUGCGGCAGCUGCAUGCGCUCGGCUCUGCUAGCGCUCUCUCCGGACGGCGACCUUCGACCUGUCGACCCUCAGGCACACAGACUGGCCCAGCAGAUCAGCUUCAAGGCGGAGUCGAGCUCGUCGGCUGCGGACAGUGGCAGUUCAGCGGCAGCGGCGGCUCUCAGUGACAGUGAGAGUUCAUCUACACCAGAGAGAGACACAGAAGACACGUCUUCAGCUGAGCAGACUGAAUCCUCAUUCGUGGCUGCUCAGACAUCAAGCGAGGGUCCAUCCGUUUCAGCGGCUCCGAGUCCUCGUCAGCGGCGCUCGCAGACCCAGAGCCCGAGAUACCCCACGUUCACGGCCUCCCCCGCCCCCCCGCACCCGCAGCAGGACCCCAGUCACACGGGCUGCGCCGUCCUCAUAGUGCUCCUCACACUCGCGCUCGCGGCGCUCAUUUUCCGCAGGAUCUACUUGGCCCACGAGUACAAGUUUGAUUACGAGCUGUGAACUCUUUCUGUCCUGUCCUCGUCCAGAUCCAACAGACGGGGUGUGUGUGUCAAUGUCAAGAACAUGUCAAUGGAAGUUUGUUUUCGCCACAGAAUAAAAAAGAUGAUUGCAAUCUCAAAAUUCAAAUAUUUUUUCUAGGAAUUGCUAGUUUAUAUCUCGCAAUUCUAAACAAGAAGGUCAGAAUUGCGAGAUAUAAACUCAAUAUUAUUUUUAUUUCUCCGAAUUGUGAGAUAUAAGUCAGAAUUGUGAG